rnacentral:rRNA from 1 species
GAUGAACGCUGGCGGCGUGCCUAAUACAUGCAAGUCGAGCGAACGGACGAGAAGCUUGCUUCUCUGAUGUUAGCGGCGGACGGGUGAGUAACACGUGGAUAACCUACCUAUAAGACUGGGAUAACUUCGGGAAACCGGAGCUAAUACCGGAUAAUAUUUUGAACCGCAUGGUUCAAAAGUGAAAGACGGUCUUGCUGUCACUUAUAGAUGGAUCCGCGCUGCAUUAGCUAGUUGGUAAGGUAACGGCUUACCAAGGCAACGAUGCAUAGCCGACCUGAGAGGGUGAUCGGCCACACUGGAACUGAGACACGGUCCAGACUCCUACGGGAGGCAGCAGUAGGGAAUCUUCCGCAAUGGGCGAAAGCCUGACGGAGCAACGCCGCGUGAGUGAUGAAGGUCUUCGGAUCGUAAAACUCUGUUAUUAGGGAAGAACAUAUGUGUAAGUAACUGUGCACAUCUUGACGGUACCUAGUCAGAAAGCCACGGCUAACUACGUG